GAUGAACGCUGGCGGCGUGCCUAAUACAUGCAAGUCGAGCGAACGGACGAGAAGCUUGCUUCUCUGAUGUUAGCGGCGGACGGGUGAGUAACACGUGGAUAACCUACCUAUAAGACUGGGAUAACUUCGGGAAACCGGAGCUAAUACCGGAUGAUAUUUUGAACCGCAUGGUUCAAAAGUGAAAGACGGUCUUGCUGUCACUUAUAGAUGGAUCCGCGCUGCAUUAGCUAGUUGGUAAGGUAACGGCUCACCAAGGAAACGAUGCAUAGCCGACCUGAGAGGGUGAUCGGCCACACUGGAACUGAGACACGGUCCAGACUCCUACGGGAGGCAGCAGUAGGGAAUCUUCCGCAAUGGGCGAAAGCCUGACGGAGCAACGCCGCGUGAGUGAUGAAGGUCUUCGGAUCGUAAAACUCUGUUAUUAGGGAAGAACAUAUGUGUAAGUAACUGUGCACAUCUUGACGGUACCUAAUCAGAAAGCCACGGCUAACUACGUG
rnacentral:rRNA from 1 species